AGCGGGGGACAUCGUGUGGUGGGUAGUUUGACUGGGGUGGUCGCCUCCAAAAGAGUAACGGAGGCUUCUAAAGGUUCCCUCAACACGGUUGGCAAUCGUGUGUAGAGUGUAAUGGCAUAAGGGAGCUUGACUGAGAGACCUACAAGUCGAUCAGGUACGAAAGUAGAGCAUAGUGAUCCGGUGGUUCCGCAUGGAAGGGCCAUCGCUCAAAGGAUAAAAGGUACUCCGGGGAUAA
rnacentral:rRNA from 16 species